GGGGGCCCGCAAGCGGUGGAGCAUGUGGUUUAAUUCGAUGCAACGCGAAGAACCUUACCUGGUCUUGACAUCCACGGAAGUUUUCAGAGAUGAGAAUGUGCCUUCGGGAACCGUGAGACAGGUGCUGCAUGGCUGUCGUCAGCUCGUGUUGUGAAAUGUUGGGUUAAGUCCCGCAACGAGCGCAACCCUUAUCCUUUGUUGCCAGCGGUCCGGCCGGGAACUCAAAGGAGACUGCCAGUGAUAAACUGGAGGAAGGUGGGGAUGACGUCAAGUCAUCAUGGCCCUUACGACCAGGGCUACACACGUGCUACAAUGGCGCAUACAAAGAGAAGCGACCUCGCGAGAGCAAGCGGACCUCAUAAAGUGCGUCGUAGUCCGGAUUGGAGUCUGCAACUCGACUCCAUGAAGUCGGAAUCGCUAGUAAUCGUGGAUCAGAAUGCCACGGUGAAUACGUUCCCCGGGCCUUGUACACACC
rnacentral:rRNA from 1 species